rnacentral:rRNA from 1 species
CCAAUAGCGUAUAUUAAAGUUGUUGCAGUUAAAAAGCUCGUAGUUGAAUUUCGGGAUCAAUAUUUCGGUCACGCCGUUGGUAUGCACUGUUAUCAUUGAUUUCUCACCUUCUAAAGAACCGUAAUGCCAUUAAUUUGGUGUUACGGGGAAUUAGGACUGUUACCUUGAAAAAAUUAGAUUGUUUAAAGCAGGCUCACGCUUGAAUACAUUAGCAUGGAAUAAUGAAAUAGGACAUCCUAUUCUAUUUUGUUGGUUUCUAGGAUCGAUGUAAUGAUUGAUAGGGAUAGUUGGGGGCGUUAGUAUUCAAUUGUCAGAGGUGAAAUUCUUGGAUUUAGUGAAGAAUAACUACUGCGAAAGCAUUUGCCAAGGAUGUUUUCAUUAAUCAAGAACGAAAGUUAGGGGAUCGAAGACGAUCAGAUACCGUCGUAGUCUUAACCAUAAACUAUGCCGACUAGGGAUCGGAUGAUGUUAAUUUUUUAAUGACUCAUUCGGCGCCUUACG